AUUGAACGCUGGCGGCAUGCCUUACACAUGCAAGUCGAACGGUAACAGGUUAAGCUGACGAGUGGUGAACGGGUGAGUAAUGUAUCGGAACGUGCCCAGUCGUGGGGGAUAACUGCUCGAAAGAGCAGCUAAUACCGCAUACGACCUGAGGGUGAAAGCGGGGGAUCGCAAGACCUCGCGCGAUUGGAGCGGCCGAUAUCAGAUUAGGUAGUUGGUGGGGUAAAGGCCUACCAAGCCUACGAUCUGUAGCUGGUCUGAGAGGACGACCAGCCACACUGGGACUGAGACACGGCCCAGACUCCUACGGGAGGCAGCAGUGGGGAAUUUUGGACAAUGGACGCAAGUCUGAUCCAGCCAUGCCGCGUGCGGGAAGAAGGCCUUCGGGUUGUAAACCGCUUUUGUCAGGGAAGAAAAGGUUCUGGUUAAUACCUGGGACUCAUGACGGUACCUGAAGAAUAAGCACCGGCUAACUACGUGCCAGCCGCCGCAGUAACAC
rnacentral:rRNA from 1 species